GACGUAGGGCGCAAGCGUUGUCCGGAUUUAUUGGGCGUAAAGAGCGUGUAGGCGGCCAUACAGGUCCGUUGUGAAAACUGGAGGCUUAACCUCCAGACGUCGAUGGAAACCGUAUGGCUAGAGUCCGGAAGAGGAGAGUGGAAUUCCUGGUGUAGCGGUGAAAUGCGCAGAUAUCAGGAAGAACACCCGUGGCGAAGGCGGCUCUCUGGGACGGUACUGACGCUGAGACGCGAAAGCGUGGGGAGCGAACAGG
rnacentral:rRNA from 1 species